rnacentral:ncRNA from 1 species
AAUAAAAUUAUUUAUGGUUUAAAAAUUUAUUAUAAAUUUAUUUUACAUAUAAAUUUUAGUGUUAAUUUUUAAUUUAUUUAAAUAAUAAUUAAUAUUUAUUUGUAGUAAUUAAAAUUAAAAAUUUAAGUAAUUAAGAUUUAGUAAUAUUUAAAUUAAUAACAAAUUUUGUGCCAGCAGUUGCGGUUAUACAAAAAUUAAAUUAAAUUUUUUUAGGAAUUAAUUAAUAAUAGAUUAUAUAAUAAAAUUAAAAUUUAAAUUAUUAAGUGAAAUUUUAAUUUAUGAAAAUUUUAUAUUGAAUUAUGAAUUAAAAAAUUUUAUUAAAAACUAGGAUUAGAUACCCUAUUAUUAAAAAUUUAAAUUAAUAAUACUAAAAUAGUAUAUAAUUAUUUAUAAAAACUUAAAUAAUUUGGCGGUAUUUUAGUUUAUUUAGAGGAAUCUGUUUAUUAAUUGAUAUUCCACGAAUAAAUUUACUUAAUUUAUUUAAUUUUGUAUAUCGUUGUUAAAAAAAUAUUUUAAAAUAAUAAUAAUAUUUUAAUUUUUAUAUUAAAAGUUAAAUCAGAUCAAGAUGCAGAUUAUAAUUAAGAAUAUAAUGGAUUACAAUAAAUUUAUUUAAUUGGAUGUUAUUUUUAAAAAUUAAUUGAAAUUGGAUUUAAAUGUAAUUUUAUUUAAUUUAUUAAAAUGAUUUUAAUUUAAAAUAUGUACAUAUUGCCCGUCGCUUUCAUUAAUAAAUUGAAAUAAGUCGUAACAAAGUAGAGGUACUGGAAAGUGUUUCUAGAAAGAG